rnacentral:siRNA from 1 species
CAAGUGAAUGAUGUUGGCCUAG